UACAGAGGGUGCUAGCGUUAAUCGGAUUUACUGGGCGUAAAGCGUGUGUAGGCGGUUCGUUAAGUCGGGUGUGAAAUCCCUGGGCUCAACCCGGGAAUUGCAUUCGAUACUGGCGAGCUAGAGUACGGUAGAGGGCGGCGGAAUUCCGGGUGUAGCGGUGAAAUGCGUAGAUAUCAGGAGGAACACCGGUGGCGAAGGCGGAUCUCUGGGCCGUAACUGACGCUGAGGAGCGAAAGCAUGGGUAGCGAACAGG
rnacentral:rRNA from 1 species